rnacentral:tRNA from 1 species
AGCUUUAUAGUCAUAUAGUUUAUGAUAUAAAAUUGCAAAUUUUAAGGAGUAAAAUUUACUAAGGCUU